rnacentral:rRNA from 1 species
AACGAACGCUGGCGGCAUGCCUAACACAUGCAAGUCGAACGAGACCUUCGGGUCUAGUGGCGCACGGGUGCGUAACGCGUGGGAACCUGCCCUUAGGUUCGGAAUAACUCCCCGAAAGGGGUGCUAAUACCGGAUAAUGUCUUCGGACCAAAGAUUUAUCGCCUUAGGAGGGGCCCGCGUUGGAUUAGCUAGUUGGUAGGGUAAAAGCCUACCAAGGCGACGAUCCAUAGCUGGUCUGAGAGGAUGAUCCGCCACACUGGGGCUGGGACACGGCCCAGACUCCUACGGGAUGCGGCAGUGCGGAAUAUUGGACAAUGGGCGAAGGCAUGAUCCAGCACUGCCGCGUGAGUGCUGAAGGCCUUAGAGUUGUAAAGCUCUUUUACCCGGGAUGAUAAUGACAGUACCGGGAGAAUAAGCUCCGGCUAACUACGUG